rnacentral:rRNA from 1 species
UACGUAGGGUGCGAGCGUUGUCCGGAAUUAUUGGGCGUAAAGAGCUCGUAGGUGGCUGAGUAAGUCGGAUGUUAAAUCCCCAGGCUCAACCUGGGACACCACCCGAUACUGCUCUGGCUAGAGUCCGGUAGGGGAGCGUGGAAUUCCUGGUGUAGCGGUGAAAUGCGCAGAUAUCAGGAGGAACACCAAUGGCGAAGGCAGCUCUCUGGUACGUGACUGACGCUGAGACGCGAAAGCGUGGGGAGCGAACAGG